AGUGAACGCUGGCGGUAGGCCUAACACAUGCAAGUCGAACGGCAGCACAGGAGAGCUUGCUCUCUGGGUGGCGAGUGGCGGACGGGUGAGGAAUACAUCGGAAUCUACCUUUUCGUGGGGGAUAACGUAGGGAAACUUACGCUAAUACCGCAUACGACCUACGGGUGAAAGUGGGGGACCGCAAGGCCUCACGCGAUUAG
rnacentral:rRNA from 1 species